rnacentral:lncRNA from 1 species
UUUAAAGUUGAAUUAUUUUUAAAUAUAGAAUUGUAUGCUAUUUUUUUCAUUCGAAAAUGGAAUAAGAGAAUUCAGAAAUAACUAAUUUCAAAACAAAAAACAAUCAUGGGCCAAUUGAACCUAUAUAUGUUAGCGGGAUAGCUCAGGUGAGCUUCCUGCCUUCCACAAUUAAGGUGGAGAGUUCAAACCCCGUUAGAUAUAGAAUCCCCUACUUUCAGAUGUAAUAACAAAAAAUUAAAUUAAAAAUAUUCCAUCUAUUUCUUAGCAUGAUUACAAUUAUUUUGGUGCAGGUGGGAACCUCAACUUUAGUGCCAGGAGCAGAUCACGCAUUGAGGAGCAUACACAACAUAAAAGAAGCCAUUCCUCAUAUAUGGGAAGAAGAUGGAGAAUAUCCAGAUCAGGUUCAAGUUAUCCAAUCCAAUGCCGCAGAAUUAACUGUUGUACAAGCAUAACGUACUCCAUGUAUGAAUUUCUAGAAAGAUAUAUUUGCGUGAAAUUAAAUAAGCCAUUAUAUAUCCAGUGUGAUAUAUAGAACUGUAUAAACAGUUACUCUAAUCUACAACGAGUUUGAGUUUCUUACAAACAUUAUUUGCAGCUCUUUUUAGUGAGU